CACUCCUGCGGGAGGCAGCAGUGGGGAAUAUUGGACAAUGGGCGCAAGCCUGAUCCAGCCAUGCCGCGUGAGUGAUGAAGGCCCUCGGGUUGUAAAGCUCUUUCACCGGUGAAGAUAAUGACGGUAACCGGAGAAGAAGCCCCGGCUAACUUCGUGCCAGCAGCCGCGGUAAUACGAAGGGGGCUAGCGUUGUUCGGAUUUACUGGGCGUAAAGCGCACGUAGGCGGACUAUUAAGUCAGGGGUGAAAUCCCGGGGCUCAACCCCGGAACUGCCUUUGAUACUGGUAGUCUUGAGUUCGAGAGAGGUGAGUGGAAUUCCGAGUGUAGAGGUGAAAUUCGUAGAUAUGCGGAGGAACACCAGUGGCGAAGGCGGCUCACUGGCUCGAUACUGACGCUGAGGUGCGAAAGCGUGGGGAGCAAACAGGAUUAGAAACCCGAGUAGUCCCAUGAU
rnacentral:rRNA from 1 species